rnacentral:rRNA from 1 species
GACGAACGUUGGCGGCGUGCUUAACACAUGCAAGUCGAACGGAAAGGCCCUGCUUUUGUGGGGUGCUCGAGUGGCGAACGGGUGAGUAACACGUGAGUAACCUGCCCUUGACUUUGGGAUAACUUCAGGAAACUGGGGCUAAUACCGGAUAGGAGCUCCUGCUGCAUGGUGGGGGUUGGAAAGUUUCGGCGGUUGGGGAUGGACUCGCGGCUUAUCAGCUUGUUGGUGGGGUAGUGGCUUACCAAGGCUUUGACGGGUAGCCGGCCUGAGAGGGUGACCGGCCACAUUGGGACUGAGAUACGGCCCAGACUCCUACGGGAGGCAGCAGUGGGGAAUAUUGCACAAUGGGCGGAAGCCUGAUGCAGCAACGCCGCGUGCGGGAUGACGGCCUUCGGGUUGUAAACCGCUUUCGCCUGUGACGAAGCGUGAGUGACGGUAAUGGGUAAAGAAGCACCGGCUAACUACGUGCCAGCAGCCGCGGUGAUACGUAGGGUGCGAGCGUUGUCCGGAUUUAUUGGGCGUAAAGGGCUCGUAGGUGGUUGAUCGCGUCGGAAGUGUAAUCUUGGGGCUUAACCCUGAGCGUGCUUUCGAUACGGGUUGACUUGAGGAAGGUAGGGGAGAAUGGAAUUCCUGGUGGAGCGGUGGAAUGCGCAGAUAUCAGGAGGAACACCAGUGGCGAAGGCGGUUCUCUGGGCCUUUCCUGACGCUGAGGAGCGAAAGCGUGGGGAGCGAACAGGCUUAGAUACCCUGGUAGUCCACGCUGUAAACGGUGGGUACUAGGUGUGGGGUCCAUUCCACGGGUUCCGUGCCGUAGCUAACGCUUUAAGUACCCCGCCUGGGGAGUACGGCCGCAAGGCUAAAACUCAAAGGAAUUGACGGGGCCCCGCACAAGCGGCGGAGCAUGCGGAUUAAUUCGAUGCAACGCGUAGAACCUUACCUGGGUUUGACAUGGAUCGGGAGUGCUCAGAGAUGGGUGUGCCUCUUUUGGGGUCGGUUCACAGGUGGUGCAUGGCUGUCGUCAGCUCGUGUCGUGAGAUGUUGGGUUAAGUCCCGCAACGAGCGCAACCCUUGUUCACUGUUGCCAGCACGUUAUGGUGGGGACUCAGUGGAGACCGCCGGGGUCAACUCGGAGGAAGGUGGGGAUGACGUCAAGUCAUCAUGCCCCUUGUGUCCAGGGCUUCACGCAUGCUACAAUGGCUGGUACAGAGAGUGGCGAGCCUGUGAGGGUGAGCGAAUCUCGGAAAGCCGGUCUCAGUUCGGAUUGGGGUCUGCAACUCGACCUCAUGAAGUCGGAGUCGCUAGUAAUCGCAAAUCAGCAACGCUGCGGUGAAUACGUUCCCGGG